UGAUCGCCUAUUCUGGUAUGCUGGAGAUCGGAACACGCCAACUUAAUAACUGGCGACUUCACGAGCCCCCCGACUUCCUUCCCUUCUGCCAACCUGGCGCCUUGCCAACACGCCUAUACUGUAGCAGGAUGCCACGUCAUCACUCCCGACUACCAGGGCGGUACACAAGCCCCCCAGUCUUAAGCGAAGACUUGUCCAGCGAAAAGACUGAAAGAGUCACGUCAACACCGAUCUACG
rnacentral:lncRNA from 1 species